UGUGUUGUGGCUCAAACAGUAGAGCACCUGCCUAGCAAGCACAAGGCCCUGAGUUCAAACUUCAAUAACACCA
rnacentral:tRNA from 1 species